CAGCCAAGGGUGUCUGCAUCGGACAACACUCAACUCGGGAUUGGCACCCAGCCAGUGCCCUACACUAUACAAGAUGCCACUGUAGGGACAGGGAUGACCUCUAGCAAGGUGACCCUCAGUGGGCCAGAGGGGGCUUCUGAAGAGAAUUUCUCUAGCUUCUUGGUGUUUCCUGCCUGCUACUUUCAAACAAGGGUCCCAUUUUUAAUGUUUUCCCAGUAAUACCUUAUGAAUGUUAUUGCAAAGGCACGCCCCUCCUGUAGAUCCCAGUUUCUCUUUCUGCCAAAAAGGGGGCAGACCUGCAGCGGGCUAAAUCAACACCACAGGCCCCGUGAUCAAUAUAUGUGAUGAGGACAUUACAUCCUGGUGUUGUUGCCCCAAGUCUUGACGUGAAUCUGACCACAAGGACAAUUCGGACAACCUGAAAUGGUGACGCAUUCUACAAAAUAAACAUCAAUGUCAUGAAAGACAAAGACUCAAGAUUUUCUGCUUAAUGGAGACUAAAGAGAUGCGACAACAGAAUGCCAGGCAUGAUCUUGGAUAUUCUUUUGGCUCAAACAGUCUUAGGACAAUUGAAAAAACGUGAAUGAGGUCUGUAGCUAAUAGAAUUGUGUCAAUGCCACAUCCUUGGUUUUGUUAAUUGCAUUGUGGUUACAGAAGAGAAUCCCUUUGUUUUCAGGAAAUGCACACAGCAGUAUUUAAUAGUAAAGGCACAUCUUGUCUGCAACUUCCUCUCUGUGUG
rnacentral:lncRNA from 1 species